UAAGUUAGCAUGUUUAACGUCGCUAAGCUUGUUUGGUAAGAUGAUAGAUAGUUAACUAGCUAGCUUGCUAAUUCC